rnacentral:rRNA from 1 species
GAAUAUUGGACAAUGGGCGAAAGCCUGAUCCAGCAAUGCCGCGUGAGUGAUGAAGGCCUUCGGGUUGUAAAGCUCUUUUACCCGGGAUGAUAAUGACAGUACCGGGCGAAUAAGCUCCGGCUAACUCCGUGCCAGCAUCCGCGGUAAUACGGAGGGAGCUAGCGUUGUUCGGAUAUACUGGGCGUAAAGCGCACGUAGGCGGCGCCGUAAGUCAGGGGUGAAAUCCCGGAACUCAACUCCGGAACUGCCUUUGAAACUGCAGUGCUAGAAUCCUGGAGAGGCGAGUGGAAUUCCGAGUGUAGAGGUGAAAUUCGUAGAUAUUCGGAAGAACACCAGUGGCGAAGGCGACUCGCUGGACAGGUAUUGACGCUGAGGUGCGAAAGCGUGGGGAGCAAACAGG